AGUCUGACCUGCCCUAUGAUAAGGUUUUAUUAAAUGGCCGCGAUAAUUUGAUCGUGCAAAGGUAGCAUAAUAAUUAGUUUUUUAAUUGGGAACUGGUAUGAAAGGUCGAACGAGAAAAAAACUGUCUCAAUUUAAUUUUAAUUAGAAUUUUAUUUUUAAGUAAAAAAGCUUAAAUAAAUUUAAAAGACGAGAAGACCCUAUAGAGUUUUAUAUUUAAUUAUUUAUUUUUUAGUUUAAGAAUUUAAUUUUAAGGUUAUUAAUUAAAUAUUUGGUUGGGGUGAUUGGAAAAUUGAAUAAACUUUUUUUAUUUAUUUUACAUUAAUAAAUGAUUAGUUGAUCCAUAAUUAUAUGAUUAAAAGAUUAAAUUACCUUAGGGAUAACAGCGUAAUUUUUUUUGAGAGUUCUUAUCGAAAAAAAAGUUUGCGACCUCGAUGUUGGAUUAAAAUUUACUUUUGGUGUAGAAGCUAAAAUUGUUAGGUCUGUUCGACCUUUAAAAUUUUACAUGAUCUGAGUUUAAACCGGUGUAAGCCAGGUUGGUUUCUAUCUUUAA
rnacentral:rRNA from 1 species